rnacentral:rRNA from 1 species
CCUACGGGAGGCAGCAGUAGGGAAUAUUGCUCAAUGGGGGCAACCCUGAAGCAGCAACGCCGCGUGGAGGAUGAAGGUUUUCGGAUUGUAAACUCCUUUUGUUAGAGAAGAUAAUGACGGUAUCUAACGAAUAAGCACCGGCUAACUCCGUGCCAGCAGCCGCGGUAAUACGGAGGGUGCAAGUGUUACUCGGAAUCACUGGGCGUAAAGGGCGCGUAGGCGGGAUAGCAAGUCAGAUGUGAAAUCCUAUGGCUUAACCAUAGAACUGCAUUUGAAACUGGUAUUCUAGAGUAUGGGAGAGGUAGGUGGAAUGCGUGGUGUAGGGGUGAAAUCCAUAGAGAUCAAGAGGAAUUCUCAUUGCGAAGGCGACCUGCUAGAACAUAACUGACGCUGAUGCGCGAAAGCGUGGGGAGCAAACAGGAUUAGAUACCCGAGUAGUC